CAAAUAGUCAGGGAUGGUUUAGACACAAGUUCAUGAUAGAAGAUGUGAAAUAUGUAAUGUAUUAAUCAAGAAUUGCAUGUUUGUUGUAUGUGUUUAUGUGUGUGUGUAUGUGUGUAUGCAUGUACAUGCAUGUGUGUGUGUUUAUGUGUGUGUUUAAUGUGAUUCCCUCUGACUGCACUGCGUACCUUCAAUCCUGACGGCAGGAAGGGCGUCAUCAUCGGCGUCAUCAUGUGUGCUGGCCGUUUUAAUCCUCGCCCUCGCUGUCAUCGCUAUCAUCAUUUAGAAGAAGAGAAACUCAGAUUCCCCGAGCUCAAACAACAUCCAGCCACAGUCAGAUUCAGCGAACUCCUUCCUGACCUGCAGCCCCUGACACUGAUUUAGUGAACUCCAACCAACCUGCAGUCUAUACCUCACUGGCCUUUCCUGCAGCUCUUGGAGUUCUGGCUCCACAAGGAGUCCUGGCUUCAAAGAAGCAAAUCAAAAUGCCUUAUAGAGCAUAUGUGUGUAUGUGUGUAUGCGUGUACAUGCAUGCGUGUGUGUAUGUGUGUGUGUGUGUGUGUGUGUGUGUGUGUGUGUUUAAUGUGAUUCCCUCUGACUGCAGCAAAUCGUUUGGUAAAAUCCUCUUUCAUUCAUUUGUUAUGAAAUGUUCUGUUGCCCUUGCCAUUUCAUUUAAAAUUUAUACUGCUAGUUCCGCGAUAGGUGAUGACUAACGUAAUUGCGAAAAUAACGUUAUUUACCUUAGAUAAACAUUGGAUUGUGUGGCCCCCCCUCGUGGUUGUGUGGCCCCCCCAGCGGUUGUGACCCUGAACAACCGCAUACAGCGUUUAUGCCACGGGCCGGCCCUGAAAAUGCCGUAUAAACACAAAACUGGAUCUCAGAAAAGAAAAAAUCGAUGGCUUUCAAAAAAAGGCAGUAACGACUCAAUCAUGGCAAAAAGUAUGACCAUGACUAGCCUUCAUGAGGAAUUGCAUUAGUGUUGCUAUGAAAUUAGCGGUGGUUGAAGAACUCUGGAAGCCGUGCAUGACGGACGUAUCCUGUAGAGCAAGUCCCACGAGGCAAGCGGCCUGUGACAAGAAUCAAGCUGCGUGUCUUGGAACAGAAGAAAAGGGUGAACAGCUUCCCCUUUUCCACUACAACUCCUAAAUAUUUUGCACUGGAAACCAGGAAGUAUUCCAACAACGGAACCAAUAUCAAGGACUCAAGUAAGGCUAUAACUUUUUUGUUAAAUUUAUUGGUGAAAAAAAAUACAUCAAAACAACAACAGAUGAAAUGACAUUCUUGUUAAACCGUUUGCACAAAAAGUGUCUCAGGAAAAUAUUUUUCUAAGGUUCUGUUUCUGAAAUACAGAAAAAUAAAGUGAUGUCUGCUCACUGAUUGCUGCUCAAAGAUUAUCUUUUUCUUUUGACGUUUCAACUCAACACAUUAAAAUUAGCGUAACGUUUUA